rfam:Triticum urartu cultivar G1812 contig288769, whole genome shotgun sequence.
AAAAUACUGCCUCCAUUCGGAAUUACUUGUCGCGGAAAUGGAUGAAUCUAGAACUAAAAUGUCUAGAUACAUCCAUAUUCGAGACAAGUAAUUCCGAACGGAGGGAGUAUAAC